UACGUCGUUCCCAGUGUGCUAGUAUCCAAUAAAAUUGUCUUUGAUUUUGUCUUUGUGAUUGAUUUUCGCUUACACGGCAAUUGCACUGUUUCAUGAAAAUCAUUGAAUCUUCGUAAAUUGAUAAAUGACACAAAACAAUGAUUAGCAUGAACUACGAAGAGUUAAAAUGAAAAUUCAAUAUGGCCUUGUGAUCGAUCUGCAGGAAUUCAUCCGCCGGUUAAAUUUUAUCCGAAGUUGAAGAAAUUGGCCAUAAAGUUACAUUAAAUGUUGGGUCUAUGACACUUGGUCCUCUAUGAAGGUACAAAGCCACAAAGGACCAAGAAGACGUCCGGUCUGCGACACCCAACGUACUGUUCUGGGAUUAAGUCAAACGUUGCGACUGGCAAAGUACACGUCACACGAUGUAACGUAACAAUCACAAAAAAGGAUAUGACGUCUGGUAUUCAGAAAGAAGAUAUCGUUAUGAACUUCCGUCGCUGUAGGUAUUACCGACUUUUUUGUCAUUUUAUAUUAUCAAAGAUUGAAUAGAAUUUAUGACUGUAAAUGACAGCGAUAAUAUUAUUGUUUUACGAUAACGACGCAUACGAGAUAUGUUCGAUUGGAAAUAAUCGAUAGGGGGUUUAAUUAUCGUAAAAAAAAAAAAUAAUAAUAAAAUGUAAAAUAAUAAUUAAACGCAACAGUUUGCCAAUUUUAGGUAAAAUAUUUCCAAAAAAUCUUUAACAAUUAUUUUAUCAGCUCAUGAUAUUUGUUGACCUUUUUAAAAAUUUUAAAUCAAGUUAUCUUGUACGGCAACAAAUGUUCACCUUAAUUGUAAACCAUUGCAAUUUACCCAAGAACACAUUUUCCAAGAUCCUCUCACGUAAACAAUAAUGACAAUGAUAAUGAAUCUCAUAAUUAAUUAUAACUCGGGAUUUCGUUAAUCAAAGAAAAAUUAAUUGUCCAAUUGUAAUUAGCCUCUCUCCGUAAUUAUAAUAAUCGUUACACUUAGCUUCUUAAGAUCAGACCAACGAUACAAUAUCCAUAUCACUAUAGUUAUCAAUGUUUAUCAGCAUCCAUCGUCAACACUGUACCAACUAUAUACUAUAUUACAAUCAACUGCAACAGAGAAUACUUGUAUAAAAAAUACACAUUGAUAAGAAAAAGGACCCCCCCGCCCCCUUCAUUAGAAACAUAUAACCCCAAAUCAUUGAAACACCAAUUGGUCAUAAAUUGCGGCAUAAAAAAAAAAUUUUUGAAAAAUGUAAUAAAAAUUUCUGAAAAACAUCUCUACGAAAUACCCUUUUUUUUUUU